CAUAUUUAUGGCAUUACAGCUUCUCGGAACCAGGCAUCCAGCCUAGGCUUAGCCAGGAGCCUUGGCCUCAAGAUCUCUCACAGGCUGCAAUCAAGGUGCUGGCUGGGUCUAUGGUCCCAUCUGAGGCUUGUGAGGGAGAGAAUUUGCUUCAAAGUUCAUGUCAUUGUUGGCAGAAUUCAAUUUCUUCUGCUUGUAGGACUGGGGGCCUCACUUUCUCGCUGGCUGUCACUGGAGGCCCUUGCAGGCUGUUGGCUGGAGCCUAGAGGCUUCCUGCAGCUCUCUGCCACUUGGAGUUUCCCAACACAGUCACACUGCAGCGGUGGUGGCAUUAUGGCUGAAUCUUGAAAGAUGAAUAGGAGUUUCCCAGGGUGGAAGAACAUUCAGACAAAGGGGAGACGUGACUGAAGGCAUGGAACUGUGAAGGCAGGUGAUGUUUUCAGGGAGCAGCAGAUGUAGCCAGUCCCUUACCCAGAGCCAUGUUCCCCUUUAUUCCAUGCUUCUAAGCCUGGGCUUGGCUCUGUUCUUUGCACCAAUGACCAUGUGCUCAGGCUGGAGUUUAUCAGCCUUGGAAAUGGAAGCUUGAUUAAUUCAAGCCAGCAAGCUCAUGCAGUGCCUAGUGGUAUAAGUAAGGCCUUCAGUGCCAUUCUGGCCCAUGAGGUGGGAGGGGGGUGCUCUUGGGAAAGGUUUUCCUCCCCAGUGAAAAGAGACAUUCACGUAGAAGUUUCUAUCUGUGGACAUAGCUGUGUGAAUCUGUGAUACCUGGGAACCCACAAGCCAUUUUGGGCCUAUGUUGGAACCCACCUUGGCUCAAGCCAACUUACUGGGGUAAAUCCUCAGUGACAUCACUGGGCUUCUAGAGGAGCCAGCCCUGCAGACACCCACCUCUUUCUCCUGUCAUAUGAUAUAAUCAUCUUCCCCACUGGCUGAGCCCCUUGCAGCCAACCCUUGAAAACAGACUGUACAGUGUACAGUGACAUGGCAUGAAGUGAUUCAAACUCAUGAGCUGAAGCCAGCAUGAAGAUCUUUGUAGCCAGUGACACGGAGCUAGGCUGUUUCCUGAGAGGUCUGGAGAGUUCUCAAUGAUUUUCAGGGCAACAAUGAUCCCAUAUCUUGGCUAAACCUGGUGGCAGGAUGCAUCAUAGUUUAGAAAAUGGAGAUCGUUGUGACAGGGAGGCCAGGGAUGGCUGCACAUCUAGAGAUUCUGAGAACUCAAACUAUUGCAGGUGUGAUGGACACCAAAAGGAAGGGCCAAGGGACAUGUAAGAGGCAGGAGUUAGAGGAGUUGGUGAGUGAAAUGUCAGGAAGGAGGCAGAAGCCCAGGGUUCCCCAGUGCGAGAGAUGGGGGACCAAUGGCAUUUGCCAGUCCAGAAUACUCACAUUCUUGGAAAACAUCAUCCAUGUUCACACCUUGAUUCCUUCACUGCUACUGUUCCCUUCGCAGGUAGGAUCCUUCCACAGAAAAUUCCCAUUCACAUAAUCCCACAUUAUAGCAUUGCUGCCGUGGGGAAGUCAGAUUCCAUUUACACUAUUCAGACUUGCAGUCCCUCAGUCAGGAACACCAGCUCCAGGAGUGAGACGCACCUCUACGAACUGUAUUUACGUUAACCCUCAGAACACCAUCCCACAUGACAAGCCACAGGGAAAAAGGAAUCGGAUCCAGGGAAAACGCUGUACCACUGGGGCCCGGGUGCCUUAAGUGGUUUUCUGAUCAACUCCAUAGAAUCAGAAUGUCAGGACUACAAGUCAUCCGUGUCCCUGCAAAGGACAUCUCAUCUUCAUUGAUCAUCCAUGGUGCUGAGCAUUUAAGAGGCACCAGGGAUGUAACUUUGAAUCAGAAGAGACCUGGUUCCUGCCCUUGUGGAGCUUACAUUCCCGUGGGUCCUCAGUCUUCCUUUGUCUUUCAUGACCUUGACACUUUUGAAGAGUACAGGUUAGUUAUUUUGCAGACAGUCCCAAUUCAGGAUUGCCUGAUGUUUCUUCAUGAUUAGAUUCAGAUUGUGCUUUUUUUUUUGCCAGGAGACCACAGCAGUGACAUUGUGUCCUUCUCAGUGCAGUGUAUCAAGAGGAACAUGAUGGUCAUUCCUGGCAAUGUCCACUUUUAUCACAUGAUUAAGGUAGUAUCUGUCAGUUUUCUCAACUAUAAAAUAUGUAAACUAUGAUUUUUUUCCUUUAUAAUUAAUAUGUGUCUUAUGAGGAAAUGCUUUGAGAUUAUGCAGAGACACUGUUCCCCAUCAUACAUUUUUGCAGUAAUUUUGGCAGCCAUUGAUGAUUCCUGCCAGUAAUAAUCAUAGUGGUGGUUGUUAUGCAAAUGGUGAAGCCGUUUUAAUUAUUGCUUUUCUUACUUUUAAGGUCUGGGGCAGGGAUGGCAAGUUCCAACCACUUGGUGGUGGCCUUCUGGAACUCUAUGUGAGAACGAUUGUGAGGUCAAGUUCUCUUAACAGGGGAAGGAUUGUGAGGUCAAGUUUUCACAACCUGGUGAGGGGAGGUGGGAAGGGAGCAGACAGGUGCCAUAUUGGCAAUUCUAGGAUGGUCCCUUCCCCUUUGGAGAGAUAGAUCUUGCCUGUUGGGCCUUCAGGCCAACACACACUAGCCUCGCUAGAAGGAAUACUGCCUGUGUACCUCCUUCUUUCCUCCUUUGGGCCUACUUUGUUCUUCUGAAUGGCUGAAACUCCAAGGCACCAUGGUCUGCACAGAUGGUAACUAUGGUGCCAGGUGUUCCACAAGGAAGGGCAGCUUGUGCUAGGCUCUGGAUUAGCAGGGCUGGGGCUACAUUCACUUCCUCCCCAAGAGGCCCUAUCUUUCUAUACCAGUAUGUAGUUUCUCUGAUGAGAUCAGCAUGGAAGCCAGUUGCUUGGUGUGGUCCAGGAAGGCUUCUGAGAGGAGGCUGCUGCUGGACCUUGAAGGUUGGGGAGAAGAUCACUGAUGGGAUUUGGGAGCAUGCAGAACAGCGUUAUUGCUUCACCCUGGCAUGCCCUUUCCUUCAUGGACUGGAUUCUCCUUUUAUCUGGAUUCCCCCAUUAUAUUUCCUAUUGCAGCCAUAAUAAGUUUCUCCAACUUAAUGCCUUAGAACAACACAAAUUUAUUAUUUUACAGUUCUGGAGGUGGGAAGUCCAAAAUCAUCGUCACUGGGUUAGGUCUCAAUGUCGGCAGGGCUGGCUGAGGCUCUCGGGAGGAUUAUCUUUCCUUGCCUUUUUCCAGCUUCUAGAAGCCACCUUCAACACCUACCAUCAGAUCUAAAUUCCAGACAGCAAGAAGAUGUGAAAACGCUCUUUCCUUCCUUUAAAGGCAAAACUCAAGACACACAUCAAAACAUCAAAACUCAAGGCACACAUCCAAACUCAUGGCACACAUUAAGUCUGCUCACAUCUUGAUAGUCACAUGGCUACACUCAGCUGCAAGAAACCCUGGGAAGUAUAGUCUUUGGCUUGGCCACUUGUCUAGCUCAAAAAUUACUACAGAGGAAUAAGGGGAGACAGAUAGUGGUCUCCUCUUCUUCAAGAGAGGUAAGAGGGCACAAUGCUGCCUUUUGUCUGAUGUGAUGGUUAAGAAGGAACAGACCAAUGUGAGGUGUGAGUUAUGUGCUGUGACUUGGACUCAUUCAACAGCAAGACCCAAGGUUUACUCUGAUGGGACAGAUGGGCAGAAUCAGUGACCACAUCCCCUGUCAUGAACCUGCUGCAGCCAGUGUGAUACCUGUCCAGCACAGAGAUUGGCCCAGGGGAAAGAGCGUGGGCUUUAGAGCCAGAUUAAAUUGGGCUUGUAUUUGGGUUCUCCACUUGAUAGAUGUGUGAACCUCUUUGGGUCUCAGUUUCUGAAUAAAUAAAGUGGAAAUGACAAAACUGACCUUGGGCUUUUGGGCAUAUUCAAUGAAACAAUGUAAACAAUCUAGCCUGGAACCUGGCACACAGUAGGUGCUCAAACAAUGUAGCUAGCUGUAGUGUCCACCCACACAUCUACACAAUUGGCAGCACUAUCUCAAAUCUUAUAGACAAACACAUGCGAUUCCUCCUCAUAUUGCAAGGUCCCUUCAGAGCAGAAGGCCUUUGAGAAAUGGUAGAAUGAUUUGUUGCUAUCUGUUACCCUGCUAUAAUUUUCGUGUUUGGAAAUUCAUUAAGAAUUCAUUUCGAUGAAUCCCAAAUGCAUGCACCAUGAAAAACAAUUAGCAUUAAUAGUGUAAAAGAAGGAGAUCAAUAAAUAGAUUCAUUUUUAAACUGUAAUAAUUUAUUUGCUUCCUAACUUUUGGGAAAUACUGCAUCUUCUGGUGACACGUCAACCAUUAAAUAGCCGAACAGCGAUGAUUUGUGGAAGGACGUUGAUAACCAGUAGGCAGACCCUGCUCUCGAGUGCACAACCCCAGCAACCAGUCAGCAACAGUGGACAGAAAGGGAAGCAGCCCUUUUCAGGAGACAAUGCAACUCAACAAAGUGCUUAUCAGGCCUUCCUCAUCCUUAAGCACUGUCCGAAUGCAACACAGCAGAUGGGAAAAGUAACGAGACCACUGAACCAAAGAUGGGGAGAAGAAAGGUGGCAUUCCUCAGACAGUGAACAGGGAGAGGAGAAAGAGGUUUCAAGAUGAGCUGCAAGGCUCUGAGAUUCACUUCACAUGGCUCCCUGCCUAUGCUGAUGCAGGAAGGCCCGGGAAAGAAUGUCUGGAUGAAGAAGCAGCAGGUGAUUCCCGACUGAGGAGGGAGGAAAAAGCCAAAUGAAAUGAGGGAGCUGUAGUCAAGGAGGGGAGGAAGCCGAGGACGGCAAGGCCUCUCAAUCAUCGCUUACCAGGGACAGAGGGAUGGCUGCCAUUAUCCCUUCUCACCACGACAAAUGAAAGACGAUGAUACCUAAGAAACUGCCGCAGCCACACAGAGCGGCAGGAGGCGAGGGUUUGCCUGGUGAAAGCCAAACGGCAGCCCUGCUCUUUUGCAGCCUCCUAUGGGACAUCAUGGCGAGCAGUGACGGAUGGAGAAAAUGCAGCAUCCCUGCCGGGCAGGACAGCAGCCUCAGGCCAGGGCUCUGGAGGAUGGACAGGCAGACCCCACGGCCCAGGAUCCAGGAAGGCCCUCUGCCAGGCUGUGGCUCCAGGAAGGCCCUCUGCCAGGCUGUGGCUGAGAGUGGCCUGGCCUGGGGCAUGGCUGCAGAUGCCGCCCCACCCGCCAGCCGCAGGGCUGGGGGCCGGCACAGAUUACAUUUUAAGGUGAUAGUCAUCUUUGACCUUUGGGACCUCCAGGGCCACUGGUCAUCCAUCUUAGAGCCGCUGACCAGCAACCUCUGGGCUAUUUUUAUGGCCGGCAAACAUUGCCCAUUGAUUGAAUUGAUUGAAAUCUGCAUCUGGUUCUUGGGGAAAGGACACUGGCCUCACAGCCGCAAUAUGCAGCUUCGUUUUC